rnacentral:tRNA from 2 species
GCCCACGUAGCUCAGAUGGUAGAGCGCAUCCUUGGUAAGGAUGAGGUCACCGGUUCAAUUCCGGUCGUGGGCUCCA